CGGCCAGUGACACUACAGCAGAGUCAUUUAGAAACCUAAGCAACCCAGCCCUCAUGGGAUCACAUGACUUCACCUCAUGGGAUCACAUGACCACCCCUCAGUGGACAUGACCGUGAGACUGUCAGACUGUGGUCUGUAAAAGCUGAAGAGGUAAAAGCACAACCUGCUAUGGUUCGGAGGGUCAGAGGAACCUUUAUCUUCACCUGGUUCUCACAUGUAGACUAUUUAUUUAACUGUAACAAAAUCUGAGGUUCUCAAACAAACCCGUAGGGUUCAAGUCAGCAGCGAGCCACAGAAGUCCAAGUCAGAGGAAGCGUCGACUGUGGUGAUAUUUCUGUUUCCAGCUGAAAUUGGAAACAGGAGCAGAGAAGAAAGUCUGCUGAUGUUUAGAAAGUACACAGCAGAGGCUGUAUGAAGGAGUAAGAUACAUUUACCUCACAGGUAAGACAAAUAAAUGAAUAGAUGGAUGUGGAAAACAAAAUCAGCACAGGGCUGACGAGUUGGCCUGCGUCAGAUUAAAAGAUUAAAACGGAGGGCAGGAAGUUUAAAAAAAGAACCGGUAAUUAUUGAAGCCAAGCCAGUCAUCAUUGACUCCAAGGGGUGUAUCCGGCUCAAACUGGUCUCCGAUAAAGGCCACCAGCAACACAUGUGCUUCUCGAUAUACCUGAGUUCAGACCAGGCCAGUGACGACAUUUAAAGGUUUACUGAUAAUUAAUAAUCAAGACGCAGUGUUCAGCAGCCAUCUCUAUAUCUGUAUGGUAUAUAUAUAUAUAUAUAUAUAUAUAUAUAUAUAUAUAUAUAUAUAUAUAUAUAUAUCCCAGUACAAUGAAAGGUGUUUUUUCACAAUACAACAGGUGGCACAAUAAUGCCAUAAUGAGCAUUACGGUGUAGUUGAGUGUUUCUUUAUUUUGUUAUAGAUAUGAAUCUGCAGAGCGCAAUGAGGCGGAACUGUUUAUUAUAACUUAUUCAUGGCGAGGAAGCAGCUGCAUGCAAAGACAAAUGUCAGCCAGUGGGUUUCACUUUCCACUGUCUCUGCUGUCCCUCCCCGCAGCACGCAUUCACACAAGUUCUUAUUAUCCAGAAGGGUGGGGGGGCGGCGUUUUGACUCACGGCCAGGCUGUAAACGCCCCCCCACCCACACUUGAUGCAAGUCCACUGGAAACGAAAGGCCCUCGUGAAGCACAUCACCACGCACCUCUGUAAUUGGGCCGCUAUUUCGUGACAACGCGUCCGCACACACAUGGGCCCCCACUUCCGACUUCACACCGGCGGGGAGCGCACACCCAUCCCCCCCCCAACACCCGACCGACAGUGUCUUCUUUCCGCCACCCCGGUGGGGGAGGCAUGUGAUUCUUGGCUCCGGCUCAGAACUCCAGGUGCAUUGCGACACAUUCUCCCGCCACUAAUGGCUCCUUGAGCGUAAAAAAAGAGAAAAGCUCCUGUCCCACUGACAUUUAUGCAGAGCAACAAGCAGCGGCGCAUGUGCGUGAUAAUUAGGACGCGGGCUCCGCGGAGCCUCUCCGCGGCUCCUUCGGUCUCUCGGUUAUGUGCCCGCCGGGGGAGUUUUAUUUUUAGCUCCUUGGUCUUUGAUUAAAAUAUGACUCUCUUGUUGACCUUCACACCUGCCGCAGCGCUGCCAAGUCCACUGCAACACGAGCACUUGAUAAAUAAAGAGCUGUCACCGGAACCGCUGACAAGACACAAUCAAUUCUCCCCGUGCUGGGGCCCUUCCCCUGGUCCCCGUGAGCGCUGCUAGGGGGGAAGGGACCCAUCCUUCCCUGCCAAUGUUUCUCCAUUUUACGUAAUGGCUUGUGUGUGUAACCAGCUUGGUCGGUCCUUCGGCGCCGGCUGGAAAGAUCGGAUGGGUGUGUUCGACAUUUAGUAUAAAUGUUUGUGGUCCCCAGAGACACAAAGUCCCGCCAAUUCAGGUGGACCAGAGAGGGAGAAAUGUCUCUUCGACACAUUUGAACCACGUUUGAACUGUGCAAUGACUAAAAAUAUGUUUGUUAAAAAGACAAUAUUACAUUUGGACUUUGGAAAGCUAAACAAUUUCACUCAUUGUCAUUGACGUGUGACAAUAUCAUGUUAGCUCAUUUACAUUUGACUUAGUAUGCACAAUUUUUGUGUUUUUCCCAAACUCAUACGCACGGUUGUAGGUUGUGGUUUGGAUUCACAACUUUAACCACAUAACUGUGGAAUAAUCACAUGGACAGACUGAACCGCUUGCAGCUAACAGUGCUAACUGUGCUCACAGUGCUAACAGAGGUAAAUGACGGGGGUGGAGGGGCAGUCUUACACGUCUGUGUAACGUGUUUCAGCACCACGGACAGCGCCGCAGAAACACACAACAAACAGCGCUGUCCGUUAUUAUUAACUCACUAGUCUGUCUUUUUGGCCUCCGCUCCAAAAACGGCACACCGUGAUAAAAAAAAUGUAAUAACUCACUCUCUUCCAUUCAUAAUUAGCCCCGAGGAGACAAAUGUCUUAGACACAAACGCGUCCUGUAUUCUAUUCACGAUGUUGCGCACUGGGUUCACGCUCCGGUGGGUUUGGGUUUUAGUGGAAUCCACCUCGUGGUGCUGCUGUGUUGCUCAGUAUCUGUGGUGAACUUCCCUGUGCAGUGAGCUAGUGGGAAUCUAUUAUACUGUACGAGGAGCGGUGAAGGAUUUGGGGCAUCAGAGGAGGCCGUGAGACACGAAGUGGCGGACGCUAGAUGGACGAGCGGAUGGAAAUAUCGAUCGGAGCUGGAAAGAGUAAAUGACAGACAAUGGAUGGAUGAAAAAAUGAGGUAGAUUGGCUGGAAAAAAAUCAGUCUGACUUGCUGCACCUUGUUGGGGCCUUUAUUGCCGAAAUGGAUGAAUGUGUUUUUGGAAGUUCAGAGAAAACAAAGCGUCCCUUUGAUUACCAGAGGGCACAUUAGUCCUUCCACAAGGCUGCAGUUACUUUUGUUUAUUUGUUUCAAAAUAGAUAUAAUGUGACUUUUUAUUCAUUCUUGUAAACAGAAAAAGAUUGAAUACCAAAAUAUAAUAUAAAAUAUAAUACUCAUAUACGUCACUAAGUAGUUUUCUGCAUUAGGUUUGCAUUUGUUUUUAUUUAUUUUUACUUUAUUGUCUCGCUCUAACUUUGUAACUCACUGUAACUCUAUUUAAUUUAUUGUAAUAUAUUUUAAACACAAUGUUCAGCAAGUGGGCCCCGUUGAGGAGCAUCGGAAACGAGAUGAGAACUCUAGACUUUUUGUAUGUGAUCAGAUUGAGCCGCCCUCUCAGAAUGGAGCGUUAAUGUCACGGCUGUUUUUCAUGGACAUGAGAACAAAGCCACUUCAAAUAGAACAAAUAAAAGCAGCACAAUGCUUUUUAGAAACAAACCUACUUGUGUCGUUUAAAAGGUCAGCGGUGCGUUCAGGCACUCUGUUGGUCCAGCUCAUUAGCAAACGCAGAGUUGUGUUAUGUCGUUGAGGUGCUACUACAUCCACCCCUGUCAUAAAAUCAAUACACCAUCCUCCGAAGGCUCCACCAAUAAAUAACUCAUACUGGCUUUGUCACAAACCCGUUAGAGGGCCGACUCUUAAAAAACGGUUUCAAGAGCGAGAGGGAGAGCAGAUGUGGCGAUUUGGUUAAAAGAAAAAACACGCACAUCGUAAAUAUCUUCCCUCGGUACUCGAGCAGAACCGGUGUUAUUUGUUCUCUGUGGCACGCCGUCUUUGUUUCUUCCUUUCUUUAUGUGUGUGUGUGUGUGUGUGUGUGUGUGUGUGUUUGUUAUUGUUAGGUUGGUUCUUCAAGUGGAGCCCUGAAUAUGCCGGUAAGACACAGUGCACAGAUGUGUUGAAAAAUCAAAACAAGGAUCAGCAUGAGAGCACACGCCUCAGCACGCACACACACACACACACACACACACGCGCACACACACGCACACGCACGCACACGGACACACACGCACACACACACACACGCACACACACGCACACACACGCACACACAAACACACACACACAGGCACACACACGCGCCAACUGCCUCGACAUGAAGCCGAUGCUGUUUUCUAGGUCACCGUCGCGCCGAGUGAAUUGACAAGUUUUCCGAUCUUGGUAAAAAACGUUUGAAGUUAUUUCCAGUAAUUGGAUGAAUGAAUUUAUGAUUAUGCAACUUUUUCUCUCUUCUUUUUAAAUUCUUGCAUUUAAAAAAAAAAACUUCCUAAAACAAAUUUACAAUAGCUCCCACUCACUUAUUUAUCUCAAGCUUUCAACCUCAUCACAUGCUCUUCAGUUAGAAAUGUAUGUGUUAACAACCUCUAGGACAAAUGUGAUUUUGCUGUACGUCGGCUUUUUUACGAUUUGGAAACAACCUCAGGUUGUUCUCACUAUUUCUGGAGCUUUCCACUGUGUCAAACUGUCUUUAACUGCAAAGACGUUCUCCUCUGUUAUUGCCUAAAUGAAGAUGUUAAAACUCUCAGUGAUCACCUUGCACGUGUUUGCUGUAAUGCUUUGAAUAAGUAGUUCACCAACCCAAUAUGAACUCCACGUUCGUUCACUCAUGUAUCUGGAGCUUUCUGCCACAUCACAUGGUCUUCAUCAGCACAUUGAGUUGGCUUAGUUGUCGUGAAAAUGAAGAUGCUCAAACAACAUCAAGGAUACAUGAUUGUUUUUCCUGUGUUGGCUUAAAAAUUCAUGACUUGACAACUCAUCAACUGUCAAUUCACUCGCUUGUUCUGCAGCUUCCAAAGAUUUGAUCUGUAAUCUGAAACGCUGCAGCAGAAGAAAGACUUUAUGCAUAUGGAGAGAAUAUUUAAGUCCAUUUUUUAAUUUUGAACACUGAAACCUGAAACACAAAAUAUUGUGUAUGUCUAAAACUUUGUUUCUGAAUGCAAUUUCAGUGAUAUGCAGAAUCGUCUAAUAUGAAGAUCCUAGUAAAAGGGAACGCUUGGUUGCAGCAACGAUACAAAAGCAUUGAAUAGUUUAAACCUUCAAUCCGACAACCAAUUGAGUAAAUUCAAGCUGCUGAUUUUGUGACACAACCAACAGCUGCAGAAAUGUUACAUGUUUAUUCAAUCAUUAUUAGCUAAAUGGCGUCAGACUUUUCCCCUUCAUGCUCCUUGAUCACUUGUCACCUAAAUGUGAGUCAACCUCACACCAGAGCAAGAAAAACCAACUCAAUGCAUUAUUUGUCCUCAAAACGAAAAUGAAUCCAACGAAAAAGGUUCCUGCCAUGUUUCAGUGACGUUGACACAUGUCUACCCACAUAUAGCCUGGUUUAACCAAGAAUGGAACCUAUUCCACCCAGAUCUGGUCUGGUUCCACCCAGAUCUCCUCAUUUUCUAUCCAGAUCUGGUCUGGUUCCACCCGGAUCUCAUUUUCUAUCCAGAUCUGGUGCUAUUCUACUCAAAUCGGGUCCUGUUCUACCAAGAUCUCAAAUGUAAUACUAUUUUGAACAAAAGUGACUGAAACAUUGAAGGUUUAGGUUACACAGGAUGCCUUCAGUGUACCAUCCAAGUAAAGUGUCUUUUGCUGUCAUCUAUGAGAGGUCAAGUUUCAUGAUUAAUGGACUGUCCAGCAGCCGUUGCUACAGCAGCUGACCAGGGACAUAAAAUUACAAUGCCGCAGAGGAGACAUUAUAACCCGUCCCUUGUUGCAGCUCCAUACUUACUCCUUACUUGAUCUAUGUUUGGUAUCAGAUGCAUAUGCUAUUGUACGUGCUUCUUUGAAGGGGAUUAACCCUCAGCAUGGCCGUCAAAGGGCUUAGUCUUCUCCAACAAACCUCCUUCUACAACCACACAUAUAAAUGCUCUCUGGGUGGAGGUUGGUUGGUUUGUUGGUUUGUUUGUUGAUUUAUUUAUAAAUCAAAGGAACUGCCUCCUUAUCUGUUUUUUUCUGUUGAAAAUAAAAGAUCAGCAGCAACAGUUACAUUUUAAACUACAAUAUUUUAUUGAAAUGGAUGUUUUUUGCAAAUCCUCACAUAUGAGAAACCACAUGCAGAGGAUAUUUUUCUCUUUUUUGUUAUUUAGACCCAUCACAGGGCAGCAACCUCCCCCCUGUAGGGGAAACGUCUUCAUCGGCGAGCGCGCUCAUGUGAGGAGAAGACGUUCGUCCGAACCCGGGGUCCGAGAGCGUGACCCACCCCGCUUGCAGCUUUGUCAUUGACUGUGCAUCUGGAAUGACGCACACACACACACACACACACACACACACACACACAUGACUCGACGACGCGGGUGUGACAUGUCUAGAUUGGAGAUAAAUUGCGUUUCAGAUUAGAUGGAGGAGGAACGGGGGGGAAGGAGGGGGGGGGGGAGCCAACGACAGUCUGCUUCAUGGUGAACUCCGCCAGCUGCAGGAAAAAAAAAAGGGAUUAAAAACCAGCUUCACCGAAAAUCCACAUCGAGACCAAAAUGAAUUACAGUAAAGCGUGCAGGAGCCCGCCGGCUUGAUUAAACUGAUAUUGGCACCUGAGUGGCGGACAGGUGUGUGCUCAGCAGCUCAGGUACACUGUGUGCCGUACCAGCAGCACGCUAACACGCCACCGGGCCUCGGCCUCCUGCUUUUCGCCACGAGUGACAAGAUGGCACACUUGUGGGAAGUGGGUAAGAGGGGGGGGGGGCACUGUCACCCUGUAUUAAAGCAUCCUCUGAAUAAUGCCCCCUUGCACGUCACUGGGUCUAAAGAAAGCUUUAGCGCAGUGUGCAUGAAGCAUUCCUUGCACUCGAAGGCUUGAUGGUCUGAAUAAUUGCAAAACAACCGUGGCUCCUCCUGAUUGUAAACAGAAUAACUCUCGCCUCAUCAAAUGAGGCGUCGUGUGAAAUGUGGGUUUUGAUAGAAACUGGCAGGAAGAGAAGUGUAACGUCUUGUUAGCCUCACUCAUACAUACUCCCCUGUGUUCCCCACUCCAGUUUUCCGAUUGUCGUAAUUCUUCCCCUCGUGACAAGGCUCUGUGUCUUGGUAGUGUCUGUGACUGCCCCUACUUGUGGAUUUUCCUCGCUCCCGGUUGGAGUUGUUUUGAGUCUCUUUUUGUUCCCCAGUAAAGAAUCACCUUUUUUCAAGUUAAAUCUGGUCUCCAGUUUUCAAUCUAACCUAUGUGUUAACGUGAAAAGGGAAAGGGGAGAAGUCUCGAGGAUAUUAAGUAAGAACUGCACCUGUGACGCCAUCUUUCCCCUCGCGACCAUAAUCAAUACCAAUCAAUACCAUCAAAGUCUAACGUUGCAUGUGUUGCUCCAUAAGUAAUCCUAAUCAUUUCUACCAGCUCUAUGGAGCUUUUAAGCCUCUCUCAGCUCAUGGUUUCGGUUUCUUGGCAAAGAAAGGUCACUGUUUUGUUUCUCUCUCAUGGUUUCAGAGAAAAAGCUGUAAAACUUCUCCCUCUCUGCUCUGCAGCAAGCAGCAGACUGACACAAUCAGAGACUAAAUGAUGAAUAUUGUGGAGAAGGAAGAAGUAGGGAACAUAAAAGUGAACAUUCCGGCAGGAUGUGUUCAACAACCAACAAUAUAUUACACAGGAGACAUCACUUUGUUGCUCUUUUGAAACAAGGAGUCAAUGUUGAUUUAUUUGAGAUGUCAGUUACGUAGUUACAGAGCUUCUGUGGUUAUUUAAACACAAACAACAAUCUUUAGUUAAACCUAAGUUUAAACUUACAUUAAACCUAUCUCAGUUUUUACUUGCAAAGACAGAUGUUUAUUUUGAAAAAUCUUGUUUAUGCGACACACACUUGUUGGAAUUUUGUUUCAAAAUGCACCAAAAAUUAUGAGUAUCUUCAUGAGAGAUAAAAUAUGAGUGAAAACGCCAACGUUGUCUACUUGCCCAGUAGCAGUCACACUGAUGAAGAUAGUGGAGUAUCUAGAGUCAUAUCAGGAGGUGGUGGAGACCAAAAACGGAGCUCAACAGUCUCUGAAGAAAUGCUCAUGCCACUUCUUACUGCUGCCCCCAGGUGGCCGAGACCAUUAUUGCUAAUUGAAAUAAUCCAAAAGUAAAGAAAAGACAACCUAAUAAACCUAAUUGUUUUAAAGAUUUGAUUACUGAGGAUCCCAAAUGGUCACCGGUCGAUGGACUGAGCACUGACCUUAACACAUUUAUUAGUAUCUUUUUAAGAGCAUGUUAGUUUGCUUUGGGUUUUAUUUACAAAGAACCCCGGGGAGAUGCUGUAACUUUCUUUUUUUCCAUCGCACUGUGGGGCCAUCUGUCCCUCACCGCCCGAUCUGUCACCUCGGAGUUUGGCUCCGUAUCAGCUGUGGACGGGGACACGUGACAAACGGUUCCCUUCUCUCGUCCGGAGAACCGAGGCGUUCUUCCGGUGUGAGGGGUCGCGGCAGAACCACCGCGGCAUCUGCGCGCAGGACUCCGAGGCUGGAAGUGAAGCCGGGGCGGGGCGGGGCGGGGGAGUUGUGGGUAGAGAGAGGAGGAGGAGGAGGAGGAGGAGGAGGAGGAGGAGGAACACGACCGUGCAACC
ensembl:lncRNA